UAUGCCUACCUGUAAUAUUUGAGUGAGCUCUCGUGACAACAGCUUUUAGAAGAUACACACUUUUCUAACGUCGAAUGCCCUCUGCUCUGGCUGAGCGGGCUAUGGCCAUGAAGGUGACCGCGGUCCUGGAGGUCCUGGAUGGCAGAAGGCUUGCCCCCAGUGAUCUACUGGGCUGUACGCACUACCCUCUGUAGCGCCUUAUGGUCGGAUGUCGAGCAGUUGCCAUACCAGGCGCUGAUGCAACCUGUCAGGAUGGUGCAGUUGUAGAACUUCGAGGACCUGGGGUUCCAUGCCAAAUCUUUUCAGUUUCCUGUUUCCACUUUUCAGUGCCAUCUUCACAACUUUCUUGGUGUGUUCCAGGAAUUCUGAAAUUCCAAUGUUACCUGUUUCUAUCUAAAGAAACGAUUUCAGAACAAUCUGAGAAGGUUUCAUGGCUCGCUGAAAUGACAUAGAAUGACAAGUGGUCUUCCCAAAUGCAGUGGCAAUUUUAACAUGUAAAUCUUGGUGGGGCAAACAAAAACAAUGUGGGAUGCAUGCCAACAAAGCCCCUACACUACACUAAACAAUACAUGAAUUGAACAAAUGGUGCCCACAAACUGUUAGGGCCUCCCUAAAGCUGUCCCAACACUUUACCACUGCUGCACCUGGCUUUUAGUGGAGCCUUGUCUGGCAGCGAAACAGUUCAUUUAGCCUCAUUUACUUCCUUUAAAAACAAAAAACAAAGCUGACUUGCUUAAACGAAUGUGCAUCCUACUGACAAUUGAGAUGGACAAACUGGCAUAAGAGGACGACAAGUGCUUCUACACCUGCAUUGCUUGCUGUUUGGGGUUUUAGUUUGGGUUUCUGUACAGCACUUUGAUAGAUCAGCUGAUGUAAGAAGGGCUAUAUAAAUACAUUUGAUAAGAGGCAAUCCGUAAUUUCGAUUGACAUUUAUUGAGUUAGCGACAGCUAUUUGUUCAGCAUUUUUUAAAUGUACAGCAAAAGAAUUCAGAACAUGGGCCAUUCUUAGUGUACUUCAAAAUAAAUAUAGGGGCAUAUAAACAGAACAUGAAAGCUCUUACAAUAUUCUGUGAUUACAUUUCUCUAAAACAGGUUAUAGGCUAUGUGUGCACCACCAAGUUAGAACAGUAGGCGAAGUUAAGAUGUGAAAAUAGACCAAAUGAUUAGGGUGAAGCACAUUGAACGCCGUUUGGGUCUUUGCGUGUCAAAAAAGCUACACGUCAUAACACUAUCAGGUGUUAAAUAAGCUUUUAAUUUGACAUGUCAAAUAACACAAUUUCUAUUAUAGAAUGUUGUGUGUGCUGAAUUAUUGUACGUGCAAGUCAAGCGCCACCACUAAAAAAACACAGCCACUCCAUUGAAUAGCAGGCUAACGUUAGUGGUUGCUUUGCAAUGCUUGCAGUUAGCCACUGAUUCCUUCCAAACGACUCAUUGUUGAAUUUGUAAUUUCCAACUUGUUGUGCAAUCUUUAUGUCCAAUGGCCGAUGAGCACCAGUACAUUUUAUCGAUGAUUUCUCUUCGUUAUUUCUCUUCAUAUGACAAGGAUUAAAAAUUAUUUGCCAGUA